CUACCCGCUGAACUUAAGCAUAUCAAUAAGCGGAGGAAAAGAAACUAACAAGGAUUCCCCUAGUAACGGCGAGUGAAGCGGGAAGAGCUCAAAUUUGAAAUCUGGCAGUCUUCGAUUGUCCGAGUUGUAAUCUAUAGAGGCGUUUUCCGUGCCGGACCGUGUCCAAGUCUCCUGGAAAGGAGUAUCAAAGAGGGUGAUAAUCCCGUACUUAACACGACCACCGGUGCUCUGUGAUACGUCUUCUACGAGUCGAGUUGUUUGGGAAUGCAGCUCAAAAUGGGUGGUGAAUUCCAUCUAAAGCUAAAUAUUGGCGAGAGACCGAUAGCGAACAAGUACCGUGAGGGAAAGAUGAAAAGCACUUUGGAAAGAGAGUUAAACAGUACGUGAAAUUGUUGAAAGGGAAACGAUUGAAGUCAGUCGUGUUCUUUGGAUUCAGCCAGUUCUGCUGGUCUACUUCCUUUGAACGGGUCAACAUCAGUUUUGUCCGGUGGAUAAAGGUAGUAGGAAUGUGACUUCUCCGGAAGUGUUAUAGCCUAUUAUCACAUACACUGGGUGAGACUGAGGACUGCAGCUCGCCUUUAUGGCCGACCUUCGGGUACGUCGAGCUAGGA
rnacentral:rRNA from 1 species